ensembl:lncRNA
GACAUAGACGUCCUGGAGGGCACGUCUACAUCCAAAAGGAUGGCAGACAUUGGGAAUUUUAAAAUUGGACUUCUCUAUGGGGCAGUCUAUGGGAAUUGUCCUUUUGGGCUUGGCUUCAGCUAAAAUGCAGUACCGAAAGUGCCCUCUGAGCACAGACCGGAACCCUGCCCCCCUGGACUGAACAUGUCCCACAGGGGGAGGGGCGUGGGGAGGUGGAUAGAAAGGAAGAGAGCUGUUUGGCUCACACUGACGUGCUGCUGGAGGCGCCUGUGUGCACAGCCAUGGAUGGUGUGUUGGAGGGAGCGGCUGUGGUGUGUGUGUGUAAACUGGCCUGCAGUCUUCUCUUCCUGCCCAUGGUCACUGCUUCUCUCAGUGCAGUCAGCUUCUGCUGCAACUGCCUGCUGCUCUUCACAGACCUCGUAGUCACAACUAUCCUGGUUGUCCUCUGGUUUGCAGACCCCUGGCUACCUCAGUUUUCCACGUCAUCUGAUGUCAUUGCCCUGCGCUUCCUGCUCUUCCUCAGCCACACCUACUGGGCGGUGCUGCUGAUGACCACUCCUCUUGUUGCCGUGGAGACUGCCAUGAAGUUGCAGUGGCCCCAGGUCCAUGGUGGCAGAGGUAGAGCAGUGGACGGGGACACAGGCGGACGUAGUAAAACUCCGGGCUCUAAAGCUCCUGCACAUCACCAUGGGGUGACAGUGGAGGUAGAGGACGGGCAGAGCAGGGACACAGACAGCCAGAGAGGAGGGAGAGAGGACCAGGAAAAGUGCCUGCCCCACAUCAUUUACUUCCUCUGCUGUCUGCUGGUGUGGGUUCUCUGUGGUGUCUGUGGGGGUCAGAGCUGGAGACUUUGGGUGAAGGUCUGCAUGGAGAGAACCAGCUCUCUCACUAUGUGCCUUCCCAGCCUCCCCAACAAUGUCCUGUCUGCUCUGGGUGAGCCCUGCUGGGCCCUGGCCACCGUGACCUUGGCCCUCCUGCUGGUGCUGACGGCGGGCUGGGGCCUGCUCAGACGACACCUGGCCCACACAGAGAUGGACACGCACUCAACGACACACAAGGGGGAACAUGGCACUGACAUUGAACUGCCCGCACAAACAUUCGCUGCACCAUGCAUGACUGUAAACCCUGCCACGUCAGCGGUGCCAGACACACAGUCUGUUGACCCAGAGACAACACGGUCCAGAUGCUCCCUUCACAGCCCAUGUUCCGGGAACAACAUACAGCUAUCACUGGCUCACCAUGGAUACUCUGUCCUCUUAUCGUUGGAGUGUUUGUCAGCAGACAUCCUAGAGGAACACAGAGAGACAAAAGGCCUAGGAGACAUGCCUCUCAGCACUACCGUGGAGGAACACACAGGCUCUACCUACAGGAGCCAGUGUGGGAUGGGGCAGUGGGGCUUUCCCUGCCUGGGGGUAAACGUAAUGACAGGGUUUGUGUGUCUGCUUAUUGUCUGUGUGUUACCUCUAAAUCUCAGCGUGAACAUCCUACUGAUCAGGCACAUAGAGACAAUGCUGGAGUGGAGUUUGAAGCUCUUAUUGUUUGUACCCAAAGAAGCCACAGACAACACAGGGCUCUCCCAGUCAAUGUAACACAGGCAUAAAGUCAGUGUACUGGACAAUAAACCCGGAUGGGGGUAGUGUUAGAUAUUAAAGUGUGGCUUGGGAAUGGGAUUGUGUUUGAGGGACUUAUUAGGUAUUGUCCGGGGGUAGGAUCAGACGAAUAUUACAUGUACUGUAGACAGCUGGUCUACCUGUCAAUGAUAAAAAGUAAACAAUUCCCUCUUUGACUGUGACUGUCUAUUCAUGCAUGCCGAGUGAUCUCUGGGAAGCUGCAGAGGAGUGCUGAAAAAGUCAGGUUGAGGCUUGCUUUCCAGAUCUAUAGACAUGCAACCCAAUAAUUAGUUUGCUGAAACAGUAGAUGGG